rnacentral:misc_RNA from 1 species
AAGUCGUAACAAGGUUUCCGUAGGUGAACCUGCGGAAGGAUCAUUAACAAAUUCAAAACACGUUUUCCUUUGAAUUAAAAGGGGAGCGAGCUUUUUUAGGUUCGCUUUCUUUUUAUUCAAAGGAGUAAACAAAAACAUACACAUCUUUGAUUGACAACACCUAGUGAUAUCUAGUUAAAUGUAGACAACUUUUAACAAUGGAUCUCUUGGCUCUU